CUUUUAUUUUUCUUUUUUCUCCCAAUUUUUUUUUUUCUCGCUUUGGGGUUUUCGCAUGAAGAAUGCUUCGAUUCGACGAUUCACGCACGAAACCAUUACAAUCGACUGGGCUUCUUCUUCUUCCUCGUGGUGACUUGAUAAGAUCUCUUCGGUUAAUUCAGGCACAAGACUAGUUCAGUCGGCUGGGAUUCUUCUCCGUCGUGAUUAUUUGGUAAUUAAGAUCUAGGGUUUGUUUGUUCUGUUUGGUUUGAUUCGGCACGAAACUAUUUAAUCGGCGGCUUGGUUUCUUCCUCCUCCUCAUGAUUCUAUUUUGGGAACAUUGUCCCGAGCAAAAUCGUGGACUGUUGGCUUGGUAGUGCAUGCAUGUUGGGAAUUGGAAAAGAGGUUGCGAUGUAUUGGAUUAUCCAACGGCUAAAUAAGUCUUAAGACAAAAGACAUAGAGCCAAAGAGUUCUCAAAGUUUGGUACCCUCGGCUGGUAAAAACCAUAAGGCAUGAAUAAAGAACCAAGGAGUUCUCAAAGUUUGGUACCCUCGGCUGG